rnacentral:rRNA from 1 species
CAGUCGCCACGGUAAUACGAAGGGUGCAAGCGUUACUCGGAAUUACUGGGCGUAAAGCGUGCGUAGGUGGUGGUUUAAGUCCGUUGUGAAAGCCCUGGGCUCAACCUGGGAAUUGCAGUGGAUACUGGAUCACUAGAGUGUGGUAGAGGAUAGUGGAAUUUCCGGUGUAGCAGUGAAAUGCGUAGAGAUCGGAAGGAACAUCUGUGGCGAAGGCGACUAUCUGGGCCAACACUGACACUGAGGCACGAAAGCGUGGGGAGCAAACAGGAUUAGAUACCCGUGUAGUCCCUGUCUCUUAUAC